AGCGAACGCUGGCGGCAGGCUUAACACAUGCAAGUCGAACGCAUCCUUCGGGGUGAGUGGCAGACGGGUGAGUAACACGUGGGAACGUACCCUUCGAUCUGGGAUAACUUCGGGAAACUGGAGCUAAUACCGGAUACGCCCUUUUGGGGAAAGGUUUACUGUCGAAGGAUCGGCCUGCGUCUGAUUAGCUAGUUGGUGGGGUAACGGCCUAACACGGCGACGAUCAGUAGCUGGUCGGAGAGGAUGAUCAGCCACGCUGGGACUGAGACACGGCCCAGACUCCUACGGGAGGCAGCGGUGGGGAAUAUUGGAGAAUGGGCGCAAGCCUGAUCCAGCCAUGCCGGGUGAGUGAUGAAGGCCUUAGGGUUGUAAAGCUCUUUUGUCCGGGACGAUAAUGACGGUACCGGAAGAAUAAGCCCCGGCUAACUUCGUG
rnacentral:rRNA from 1 species